AAAGUUACAAGAAGAACAAGAAUGGUUACCUCAUCCGGUCAUGUGACAUUUGUUGUUUAUAGAUUUUUCGCUCACACCAGAUGUCUAGACCCUGGACAGAUAACAGAAAUACACAUUGCCACUCAAUCUGUAUUCAUCUUGUGACGUCUCCUUGGAAGAAGGAGAGAGGGACCCUAGGGGUGGCGUUAAGGAGUUGAAAUCCUGUUAAGACAAUCAGUGAUUUGUAGAUCAGUCAGCCUGCGUGUGGAGGAGGAUGAAGACCUUUAGUGACGUGCAAGACAUAGUAAAACACUGACAUGCAGCUUUUCUCAUAGACGGGAGGUUACAAGUGAAGGAAUCCGCUAGGAUUGGAAGUUGUCUCUUUAUGUUUCUUUUGAGAUGGUACGGCCUCUGAGGACCCCCAAGACCAACUGGACGAGGCUAUUAAAAAGGCAGAACACCUUGCUGAGGAGCUCAACCGAGAGAAGGACCCACAAGCCCAACUGGAUGAGGCCAUUAACGAGGCAAAAGGCUGGCUGAGGAGCUCAACCUAGAACGGGAAAAGAAGAAGAAGAAGACAAACAAGCCUCCAGGGAUUAGGUUCAGAUGGAGACAAAGGGAUGAGAGAGGACAGAUUGUUUCUCAAACCAGGAAGACAACUACAUCCACUUCUGUUGGUAAGUUUCAUCCCGUCUAGGUGUUUAAUUUUAUUGGUCCCUGAUGUGACUUUUUCCUUUCAAACAUACUGUAUCAUAGCAUAUCGAACAUUUGUUGCCGUGCCAUCCGGUCUAGUACCAUCUACCCACAGCACAUAAUAUAUUACAUGCAGGUCUGAUCCCACCUUUCCCUUUCUCUAACUGUUGUCUGUCUCUGAUGAAAAUACAUAUUUGACGAAAGGAGAUUCAGAAUUCCAGCAAAUCUUUAGAAUUAAAAACCUUUUUAUUACAAUUUUUUUCAACUCCAAGGGCCAGUACAUCAAGAGUCAGACUAGUGCAACAUUUUGGGCCAGUCACUGAGGAGGAAGAAUCAGGUAUUGAUGAGCGAUUGAAUAUACACUGCUCAAAAAAAUAAAGGGAACACUAAAAUAACACAUCCUAGAUCUGAAUGAAUGAACUAUUCUUAUUAAAUACUUUUUUCUUUACAUAGUUGAAUGUGCUGACAACAAAAUCACACAAAAAUUAUCAAUGGAAAUCAAAUUUAUCAACCCAUGGCGGUCUGGAUUUGGAGUCACACUCAAAAUUAAAGUGGAAAACCACACUAUAGGCUGAUCCAACUUUGAUGUAAUGUCCUUAAAACAAGUCAACAUGAGGCUCAGGAGUGUGUGUGGCCUCCACGUGCCUGUAUGACCUCCCUACAACGCCUGGGCAUGCUCCUGAUGAGGUGGCGGAUGGUCUCCUGAGGGAUCUCCUCCCAGACCUGGACUAAAGCAUCCGCCAACUCCUGGACAGUCUUUGGUGCAAUGUGGCGUUGGUGGAUAGAGCGAGACAUGAUGUCCCAGAUGUGCUCAAUUGGAUUCAGGUCUGGGGAACGAGCGGGCCAGUCCAAAGCAUCAAUGCCUUCCUCUUGCAGGAACUGCUGACACACUCCAGCCACAUGAGGUCUAGCAUUGUCUUGCAUUAGGAGGAACCCAGGGCCAACCGCACCAGCAAAUGGCCAACAUGGAUGGUGCUUGUCAGGCACUAUUGUAAAGUGGCUGUUCCACUGGAUGUCAUUAGGUGAAUGCACCAAUUUGUAAGUCGCUCUGGAUAAGAGCGUCUGCUAAAUGACUUAAAUGUAAAUGUAAUGUGGAAACAUAUAACCCUCAUGGGAAUAAAUAGUAUGUGCAAUAUCCACAAGAACUAAACAGUGAUGUAGCAAUGCAAUGUAAAACAACAUGAAUUCAGACUAAAAAAAAAUCCUCAAGGUCGCUACGAUGUCACAGUGCCUGUGCUGACCUGCACAACUUGUCUUAGCACCUGGACAGCAAACUUGGCAGAUCUGAUAAAGAAUGGGUACUGGCCUGCCACUGUCAACCGUGACACCAUAUACCAGGUAGAUGUGUUCAGCUCUUUUGAGGAGCUGAAAGUGUCAGCCCCAGGAAUGUCCCGUCUGGCGUUUAUGCGGAUUCUGGAGCAGCGAACUGACUUCUUUAGCAGGGUAACAAUCAAUUAUACUCAGCUUUACCAAUGUAUGACUUCAGGUCAACAAUAUGUUAAAGUCAUGUUACACAAAGUAUUGUAACAAAAUGUAUUUCCUGUACUACAACUACGUUAAAACUUCAGGUCUCUUGCUAUAGUAUGUGUUAGCCUCCUGCACCACUGUCCUGCCAUGCCCCUUAUCUGUGCCCCUCUUGCAUCCAAUAUUUCCUGCUCUUUACAACAUAAAUACUCGUCCUACUUUUGCAUUGGCUUUCACCUGCUUUGCUGUCAACACUAUGCACUGGCCCUGCUUUAACUCAAAUCCAGUCAGCCAUAGUGAAUUAUAGUAUGUUUUGUUUAUACUAUUGUUGUAAGUUAUUUCAUAUAUUUCGCAUAUGUAUUUUUCCCUUACCAGAACGGAAUGAUCUGUGCGGACACUUUUCAAAAAAGCUUCUUUGAGUGGACGUACUGCCGCUCUGAAAUUGAUCAGGUCUGCGAUAUGUUCCCCCUGUUCCCCUGGCAUGUGUCAGUGGACGGGAACAAGAAGCUGUAUCGAUUCAAAUAUAGGUAACUCUGGGUCUUCCAUUCCUGUGGCGGUCCAUGAGAGCCAAUUUCACCAUAACGCUUGAUGGUUUUGCAACUGCACUUGAAGAAACUUUCAAAGAUCUUGAAAUGUUCAAUAUUGACUGACCUUCGUGUCUUAAAGUAAUGAUGGACUGUCAUUUCUCUUUGCUUUUUUGAGCUGUUCUUGCCAUGCCUUCUUGCUUGCCUUCUGUAUAUCCCCCCAACCUUGUCACAACACAACUAAUUGGCUCUAACAUUUAAGAUGGCACACCUGUUAAUUGAAAUGCAUUCCAGGUGACUACCUCAUGAAGCUGGUUGAUGAAAUGUUAAAAGUGUGCAAAGCUGUCAUCAAGGCAAAGGCUGGCUACUUUGAAGAAUCUCAAAUAGAAAAUAUAUAUUUGAUUUGUUUAACACUUUUUUGGUUACUACAUGAUUGUUAUUUUCUAGAGUUGAUGUCUUCACUAUUAUUUAAAAAAUGUAGAAAAUAGUAAAAAAAAAUAAAGAAGAACCCUUGAAUGAGUAGGUGUUCUAAAACUUUUGACUGGUACUGUAUAUAUAUAUAUAUAUAUAUAUAUAUAUAUUACAUUUAAAGUACCUCGGAUCUCGGUGUCUUCAUGUGUAGCUACGGUCCUGGAGAGUGUGAAGGAAGGCAACUAAAGCAGUUAUUUAUUCUGUGAAUCUUUGAUUUUGUAUUGAUGCUGAAUAUUAACAGCUGCUAGUUUGUGGUCGGAUCUGACUCUUUAUGUCCCUUUGUAAUGCACCCCAUCUAAAAGGGCUAUGUACCCUUAUGGUGGAAAAAGAGUACCUGUUCCAGCCCAUAGGAUGUCAAAAUAGAUACACUAGAUGGCGUUAAAGUUUAAAAUAUAAUGCAUGUGUCACCGACUAGUGAAGUCAGGAUAACUCAUCAACUCUUGGUACUGUAGGGGCGGGGGGAGGGGAGGGAGGGGAAAGUAUGUAUGUUAUAAUUCACUCCAUUUAACAGCUUUCAAACACAGGUUAGAAAAUGGACUUCUGGGGAAAUACAUUUCUGGAGGAUCACAAAAAUAUGUUUGCUUAUUAAACCAAUAGGGGCUGCAGGGUAGCAUAGUAGUUAGUGUCAGACUAGUAACCGAAAGGUUCCAAAAUCGAAUCCCCGAGCUGACAAGACAAAAAUCUGUUGUUCUGUUCGUAGGCCGUCAUUGAAAAUAAGAAUUUGUUCUUAACUGACUUGCCUAGUUAAAGGUUAAAAAGUGUUUGGUACAAGUUCACUUUCUAGGCCUAGCUGUGUACCUCACAUCUGAAGGAUGGAUUAGAAACUUGGGAACCAAGCUGGUUACCUCACAUCUGAAGGAUGGUUUAGGAACUUGGGAACCAAGCUGGUUACCUCACAUCUGAAGGAUGGAUUAGAAACUUGGGAACCAAGCUGGUUACCUCACAUCUGAAGGAUGGUUUAGGAACUUGGGAACCAAGCUGGUUACCUCACAUCUGAAGGAUGGUUUAGGAACUUGGGAACCAAGCUGGUUACCUCACAUCUGAAGGAUGGAUUAGAAACUUGGGAACCAAGCUGGUUACCUCACAUCUGAAGGAUGGAUUAGAAACUUGGGAACCAAGCUGGUUAUCUCACAUCUGAAGGAUGGAUUAGAAACUUGGGAACCAAGCUGGUUACCUCACAUCUGAAGGAUGGAUUAGAAACUUGCGAACCAAGCUGGUUACCUCACAUCUGAAGGAUGGAUUAGAAACUUGGGAACCAAGCUGGUUACCUCACAUCUGAAGGAUGGAUUAGAAACUUGGGAACCAAGCUGGUUACCUCACAUCUGAAGGAUGGAUUAGAAACUUGGGAACCAAGCUGGUUACCUCACAUCUGAAGGAUGGAUUAGAAACUUGGGAACCAAGCUGGUUACCUCACAUCUGAAGGAUGGAUUAGAAACUUGGGAACCAAGCUGGUUACCUCACAUCUGAAGGAUGGAUUAGAAACUUGGGAACCAAGCUGGUUACCUCACAUCUGAAGGAUGGUUUAGAAACUUGGGAACCAAGCUGGUUACCAGUGUAGCCUGUUAUCACCUGGACUCUAUUUUCACACCAAGGAAAGGCUUCCGUCAUAGAUGUCAAUUUACAGAAAAUUAAAAUAAAUAAUUACAGGGUCAGUUUGGAGUUGUCAAGAGCACAAACUGUUCUGGGAUCAGGCUAGUGUAGAGUUAUCCUGGGUGUCAGUCUGUUUCUGAUCUCUUACCAACUCCUUAAUGGUACUGUGAUGUCACGUCUUCAUAAUGAGAGCACAAACUGUUCUGGGAUCAGGCUAGUGUAGAGUUAUCUGAUCUCUUACCAACUCCUUAAUGGUACUGUGAUGUCAUGUCUUCAUAAUGAGAGCACAAACUGUUCUGGGAUCAGACUAGUGUAGAGCUGCAUGGGAAUGUAAUGUAUAUGAAAGGGAUGUGUCAUGUUUCCCUCUUCCAUCAACAAGUUAAGUACUAAAUGAACGACAGAGUAGCACCUUUAUUGUUGCCUUUGAAAGAAAAGACAAAUUCAUAUAUUAUUUUUAAUGCAUUUUAUCCGUUUUUUUCAGCUGAGUGUGCAGCUUAGUUGCAUUGAAAACUACCAUGUUAUGAAUCUGUGGACUUCAAUGCUACAUUUGGGCUCCCGAGUGGCGCAGCGGUCUAAGGCACUGCAUCUCAGCGCUAGAGGUCUCACUACAGACACCUGGUUUGAAUCCAGGCUGUAUCACAACCGGCCGUGAUUGGGAGUCCCAUGGGCGGUACACAAUUUUCCCAGUGUUGCCCGGGUUCGGCCAGUGUAUGUCUUCAUUGUAAAUAAGAAUUUGUUCUAAACUGACUUGGCGAGUUAAAUAAAGGUUAAAUGCUUGCAUUAAGAUUUUUCCAAAUAUUCCAUCAUAUUUUUAGUUAUAUUGUACUUUGUCAAACAUCCAUCCUAAAACAUAUUGUAAACCCCAAAUGUUUUGUUUUGUUGUUUUGUGUCUGAUCUUGUAGAACAACAUUGAAGGUUUGUAUUUGUCAUUUGAUGUGGAACAUUAAUCAUGAAUAGAAUUCUGCACUACCAAUGAUCCUUUGUGAUCUGUUAAUUCAGUAUAUAAUCCAAAAUUAAACUUGGAUACACAAUGAAUACAAA